CCGUACUUCAUGGGCUUCAUUUCUUAGAAAAAUGCCUCGUGCUACAGUUGCCUCCAUUAUUUGCCUUUCCCCAGCAUCAUACCUUUUAGUUAGGUGAACAAUGACUCUUCUUUAUUGUACCCAAAAAAAAAGGACUCUUGUUGCCUUUUGUUUAAUCCACCAAAGAUCCACAUUAAACUUUUUUAAUCCACAGGAGGCUGUCACAUAUUCCAUUCGUGAAAC
rnacentral:lncRNA from 1 species